CACGUAGGGGGCAAGCGUUGUCCGGAUUUAUUGGGCGUAAAGAGCUCGUAGGCGGCUUGGUAAGUCGGGUGUGAAACCUCCAGGCUCAACCUGGAGACGCCACUCGGUACUGCUAUGGCUAGAGUCCGGUAGGGGAGCGUGGAAUUCCUGGUGUAGCGGUGAAAUGCGCAGAUAUCAGGAGGAACACCAGCGGCGAAGGCGGCGCUCUGGGCCGGAACUGACGCUGAGGAGCGAAAGCAUGGGGAGCGAACAGG
rnacentral:rRNA from 1 species